AAAAUAUAAAUGCAAAACCAUUUCUCUGUAAACAACAAAACAAACGCAAAUGACAUCUGAAAGCAAACUGGAAAUGACUGCAAACAUUUGUGUGAUGAGACUUUGGAUAAAUGCAAACAAAUGUGAGGGAGAGUGAGCAUGGGAAAGCUGGUGGCCCGGUCCAGCUGUUCAGCCCGGAUAACAAAGAGUCUCCGUUCAGAGUCGAACUCGUCUGUGAAAAACUCCUCAGCUUUGUUUUCUCUCUGAAACAAAACGAGCGAUCGAGUUUGGUGCAGAUGAUAAAUACCAGCCAGCAACUGCUUUGAAGAACCUUGACUUCAAUAUUAAAGAAUAGCAGAGAAGUGAAUGCUAAAGAAUUAAACUGAUUCUACCCCAGA